rnacentral:tRNA from 1 species
GGUGGUGGCUCAAUGGUAGAGCACUUGCCUAGUAUAUGUGAGGUACUGGGUUUGAACCUCAGCAUCA